rnacentral:rRNA from 1 species
GACGAACGCUGGCGGCGUGCUUAACACAUGCAAGUCGAGCGGAGCGGCGAACGGGUGAGUAACGCGUGAGUAACUACCCCCCUCUCUGGGAUAACAGUUGGAAACGGCUGCUAAUACCGGAUAGUGGGGGAUGACUCGCGUCCUAUCAGCUUGUUGGUGGGGUAGUGGCCUACCAAGGCGACGACGGGUAGCCGGCCUGAGCGGGCGACCGGCCAAAGUGGGCUGAGAUACGGACCAAAAUCGGAAGGGAGGCAGCAGUGGGGAAUAUGGCACAAUGGGGGAAACCCUGAUGCAGAAACGCCGCGUGCGGGAGGACGGCCUGCGGGUUGUAAACCGCUUUCAGCCAUGACGCGGUAGUGGCAGAAGAAGCACCGGCUAACUACGUGCCAGCAGCCGCGGUAAUUC